rnacentral:lncRNA from 1 species
AAUUAAUUAGAUUAAUUAAUAUUUUUCCACUGUAAAAUGAUAAUUUUAAAAAAAUUUUAAAAUUAUCAUUUUACCCCUACAUUGAAUUUUCCCACACUAAAGACCAUGACAACCCAACUUGGAGGCUCACUUGCCGAGGGACAAUCCACAAAUAGGCCACCUCUUUUUAAUGGAUCAAAUUACACCUAUUGGAAAGCUCGCAUGUGCAUUUUUAUACAAGUCUU